rnacentral:tRNA from 1 species
UGCGGGUGACGCCGUCCGGGCCGCGGCGGGCGUUGGCCACGCCCCGGGGAUGACGUUCGAAACGCCGCUCCCGCAG